rnacentral:lncRNA from 1 species
AUCCAUAUCCACCUGAUGGAAUAGAAAAUAGCGUGAGGUGUGUUCCCAGGAGGCUUUGCAUGGGUUAGACCUGGAGGGCAAACACAUCACGUCUGCUUAUGUUCCAUCUGGAAAAACAUUUGAGUUGCCACAGCAAAUUGCUAGUGAGAAUGAGAGAUGGAGUUCCCUGUGUCUCCAAGAAGGGGAUGACUUUGGCAGAGCAGCUCUUCUGUUCCCUGACUUCUCUUUCUCCUGCCAGAACCCAGCACCGAGAGGGACCAUCAGAGGAUGUUCCAUGAGAACUUGGUGAGGGUUGUGGAGAGGUUGGCUGGUGCUUCUCCGUCUUCAUACAGAUGUCCAGACAGGGGACCAGAAGUCUCAGGUCUGAGCUCUACCUGGAAGCCCCUCACGUCUGUAGCCAUCAAACCUCCAGAUAAGACGAGCCCUGAAGCAUUUUGGUUGCAUCAGAAAACAGAUGGAAGGCCAGUCUUCACAGAUGCAUAUACUUCAUCCUGGCUUCCACCCACAGAGGUUGCAUCUGUGCAGAAAUUCAUCCCAGAGCACCAGGCAGGUAGCCACUGUGUCUUUAUCUCCCUCCAGAGAAGCAACACGCUCCAGACUCUGAUGCACUGGAGGCAGGAGACAGCUGCAGGUGGUGGUGUGCUCUGGAAGAGUAGAAACAGAGACCCCUCAUAGAUACCCUGUCUUCAGAAUAGACCUAGGCUCUUCACCCCACCACCCCUGCCACCACCCCACCCAAGCCACUGCAGUGUCUUGCCCAGACAAGGGGCAUGGCCAACUAACUGAUCCCUCAGAUCUUGCCCUGGUCCCCCUAAGAUAACUCUUUAUAUGGCAGCUUUCUCCAUCUUAGCACUUUGGGAGGCCGAGACAGGUGGACUGCCUGAGCUCAGGAGUUCAAGACCAGCCUGGGCAACAUGGUGAAGUCCAGUCUGUAUUAAAACUAUAAAAAAUUAGCUGGGCAUGGUGGCGCACACCUCUAAUCCCAACUACUGUGGAGGCUGAGGCAUGAGAAUCACUUGAACCUGGGAGGCAGAGGAUGCAGUGAGCCGAGAUGGUGCCACUUCACUCCAGCCUGGACAACAGAGCAAGACUCUGUCUAAAACAACAACAACAAAAACAAACAAAAGAAGGAAGAAAGAAGGGAGGGAAGGAGGGAAAGAGAAAGGAAAGAAGGAAGGAAAGAGAAAGAGAAAACACUAUAACAGAGAUGAUGAAGGCAUUUGAUGGGACCAUCAGUAGACUGGACAUAGAUGAGGAAAAAAUCAGCCUGAAGAUAUGUUAAUAGAACCUUCCCAAACUGUAAUGCAAAGAAAAAAAUGGGGAAAAAACAGAUUAUACAAGAACUGUGGGAUAUUUUCAAAAGGUAUAAUAUAUGCACAAUUGAAACACCACAAGGAGAAGAAAGGGAGAACAGAGCAGAAGAAUCGUGAAAGUUAUAAUGGCUCCCAGUUUUCCAAAAGUAAAGGCAGACCCCAAGCCACAGAUCCAGUAAGCUUAGAGAACACCAAAUAGGAUACAUACUUAAAAAAAAAAAUCAACACCUACAUAUAUCAUAUUCAAACUGUAGAAAACCAAAGACAAACACAAAAUCUUGAAAGAAGCCAUAGAAAAAAACCCAGCUUACUUAUACAGGAAACAAAUAAGAAUUACAGCCUUCUUGUCAGACACCACGCAAGCAAGAAGAGAAAAGGGUGAAAUAUGUAAAGUGUUGAAAGAGAAAACUGGCCGGGCACAGUGGCUCACGCCGGUAAUCCCAGCACUUUGGAAGGCCGAGGUGGGUGGAUCACGAGGUCAGGAUUUCAAGACCAUCCUGGCUAACACGGUGAAACCCCGUCUCUACUAAAAAUACAAAAAAAUUAGCCAGGCGUGGUGGCAGACGCCUGUAGUCCCAGCUACUCGGGAGGCUGAGGCAGGAGAAUGGCGUGAACCCGGGAGGUGGAGCUUGCAGUGAGCCGAGAUCGCGCCAUUGCACUCCAGCUAGGGCGACAGAGCAAGACUCUGCCUCAAAAAAAAAAAAAAAAAAAGAAAACCCCAUCAACCUAGAUUUCUAUAUCCAGCAAAAGUAUCCUUCAAAAGUGAAGAAAACAUUGUGUAUGUAAAGGCUACAGAAUGGUGGAUUUUAUGAUGGUUUAAAAAUGGUGACAUCCAUGUUAUAGAAAUUUUUUGCUCUCACUAAAAGAAUGAAAGAGAAACAAAAACUUUUUGAGGGCCAGGCACGGUGGCUCACACCUGUAAUCGCAGCACUUUGAGAGGCCAAGGCAGGAAGAUCGCUUGAGCCCAGGAGUUUGAGACAAGCCUGAGUGACAUAGUGAGACCCCAACUUUACAAAACAAUUAAAAAUUAGCUGAGUGUGGUGGCACGGUCCUGUAGUCCCAGCUACUUGGGAGGCUGAAGUGGGAUCCUUUGAGCCUGAGAGGUCGAGGCUGCAGUGAACCGUGUUUGGCCACUGCACUGCAGCCUGGGUGACAGUCAAGACCCUGUUUCAAAACAAAACAAAACAAAAAAAACUUUCUCAGACAAGCAAAAAAAUGAGAGUUAUUGCCAGCCAAUCUGCCCUACAAAACAUGUUAAAAGCAGCUCUUAAGGGAGAAGGGAAGAGAUAUAGGUUAGAAACUCAGAUCCACAUAAAGGAACUGUCAGGAAAGGAAUACAUGAAGACAAUAGAAAAUCUUUUACAUUUCCUAUUCUUAGUUGAUCUAGUAGGUAACUGCCUGGCUAAAGUAAUAAUAGUAACAUUGUGUUGGGGUCCAUAGUAAAGGAUAGGUGAAAUCAAGAAUAGCACUCUUACAAGGGUGAGGAGAGAGGAACUGGGAAUACUCUGCUAGAAGACACCUGCACUGCCCAUGAAGUGGUAAAGUGCAAUUUGAAAGUGGAUGUUGAUUAGUUGCAAAUCUAUAUUGCGAACUCUAGGACAAUGAAUUAAAAUAUUUUGAAAGAAGUAUAAUUAUAAUGCUAGAAAGUAAAAAGAGUGGAAUCAUGUAAAAUUCUCAGUUAAACCAGAAAAGACAGAAAAAGAAGGGAAGGUAAGAAAAACAAGGACAAGUGCACCUGCUAGAAAACAGCGGCAGACAUGGUAGAUAUUAAUCCAACUAUCUCAAUAAUCACUUUAAAUGUGAAUGGCGCUAAAUAUACCAACUAAAACACAAAGACUGCCAGUAGAUUAAAAAAAAAAGACCCAAUGAUAUGUUGUCUGUAAAAAAACCCAUUUUAAAUAUAAAGACACAAAUAGCAUAAAAAUAAAGGUAUAAAGAAAGAUAUACCAUGUUAGUACUAAUCAAAAGAAAACUGGAGUAGCAGUAUUGAUAUCAGAUAAGGCAAACUUCAGAGGGAGAAAAAUGAUCAGGGAUAAAGAGGGGCAUUAUAUAAUAAGAGGGUCAAUACUCCAAGAAGACAUUGUUAAAUCCUUAAUGUGUAUGCACCUAACAACAGAGCAUCAACGUAUGUGAAGCAAAAACUAAUAGAACUGCAAGAGAAAUAGACAAGUCCACUAUUAUAGUUGGAGACUUCAACACUCUUCUAUCAGUAAUUGACACAUUUAGCAGGCAAAAAAAUCAGUAAGGAUAUAGCUGAACUGGACAAUACUGUCAAGCCACUGAAUCUAAUUGACAUUUACAGUAUACUUCAUUCAACAGAGUACAUAUUCUUCUCAAGCUCACAGGAAACAUCCACCAAGAUAGACUACAUACUUGGCCUUAAGAUACAUCUUACAAAUUUCAAAGAAUACAAACCAUAUAAAGUGUGCUCUCAGAGGAAAUUAAACAAAAUCAAAAACAGAAACGUAGAUGGGAAAUCUCAAAAUAACUGGAGAUUAAACAAAACACUUCUAGAUACCAGAUGGGUCAAAGAAGAAGUCUGAACAGAAAUUUUAAAAUAUUUUGAACUAAAUAAAAAUGAAAAUACAAUGUAUCAAAAUUUAUAGGAAGCAGUGAAAGUAGUGCUUGGAGAUAAAUUAUAAUAUUGAAUGCCUAUAUUAGAAGAUAUUAAAAAGAUUUAAAAUUCAUAAUCUAAGUUUCCAUCUUAGGAAACUAGAGAAGAAAGAUCAGUGUAAGCCUAAAGCAAGCAAAGGGAUAGAAAUAAAAAUUAUAGUAGAAAUCAAUAAAAUAGAAAACAAGAAACCAAUAGAAAAAUUCAAUGAAGUAAAAAUGUGCUAAUUUGUGCAGCAGCAAUAGAAAAAAGAAAUAAAAACAGUACUUUCACAGGUCAGUAAAAUGUAUAAACCUCUAGCUAAGCUAACUAAGAAAAAAAAAAACAGAUUGCUGAUAACAGAAAUGAGAAAGGGGUCAUCACUACUGAUCCCAAGGACAUUAAAAAGAUAACAAAAGAAUAUUAUGAGCAACUCUGUACCCACAGAUUUGAUAGCUUAGGUGAAACAGAUCAAUUUCUUGAAAGACACAAACAACCAAAACUCACACAGGGAAAAGAGAUGAUCUGAAUAGGCCUAUAUCUAUUAUGGAAAUUGAUAAAUUAUGGAAGUCAAUAAACAACCUUGCAAACAAGAAAGCACCAGACCCAGUGGUUUUGUUGUCAAAUCUAGCAAACAUUAUGGAAGAAAUGGUACCAAUUCUCUACAUUCUCUUCCCAAAAAAUAGAAGUGAAGGGAAUACUUCCUAACUCAUUUCAUGAAGUUAGCAUUUCUUGUAUCAAAAUCAGAUAAAAACGUUGGAAGAAAGGAAAACUACAGACCAAUACCUCUCAUGAACAUAGAUCAGCGGUCUCCAACCUUUUUGGCAACAGGUACCAGUUUUAUGGAAGAUAAUUUUUCCAUGGGACAUGGUGGGUGGGGCAGGUGGUUUCGGGAUGAAACUGUUGCACCUCAGAUCAUCAGGCAUUAGUUAGAUUCUCAUAAGGAGCUUGCAACCUAGAUCCCUCAUAUGUGCUGUUCACAAUAGGGUUCACACUCCUGAGAAUCUAAUGCUGUCGCUGAUCUGACUAGAGGCAGAGCUCAGGUGGCAAUCCUGGCUCACCUGCCACUCACCUCCUGCUAUGUGGCCUGAUACUGUUACUAGUCCCAGGCCUGAGGGUUAGGGAUCCCUGAUAUAAAUGCAACUAUUAGCAAAAUAUUAGCAAAUUGAAUUUAUGAAUAAAUGUGAAUCUGUGAAUACACCACAAUUUAACAGGAUUUAUUUCAUAUGUGCAAAACAGGUUUAACAUUUUAAAAACCAACAUAGGCCAGGUGUGGUGGCUCACGCUUGUAAUUUUAACACUUUGGGGGGCCAAGAUGGGCAGAUUACCUGAGGUGAGGAGUUCGAGACCAGCCUGGCCAAUAAGGCGAAACCCUGUCUCUACUAAAAAUACAAAAAUUAGCUGGGCUUGGCGGUGCAUGCCUGUAGUCCCAUAUACUCGGGAGGUUGAGGCAGAAGAAUCGCUUGAACCCGGGAGGCAGAGGUUGCAAUGAGCCGAGAUUGCACCACUGCACUCCAGCCUGGGCGACAGAGCGAGACUCCAUCUCAAAAAAAAAAAAAAAAAAAAUUACGGUGCCUAAUAGCUCCCUCAGCUACAAUCCACUGCUGUUACACUGGAGCCCCGUUGUUGUGGUGGUAUGAUUUAGGAAACGGGGAAGCACGUUUCUAAUUUUAUGAUUAAAUCUUGGUCUUUUAGUGCAUCCGUAUCCCUGGUGUCUUCACAGGUGUCUUAGCUUUGUCCCACCUCCUUAGGUGAGACAGGAAGGCUAGAGGCGGCUGGAGCUGGGUGACUGUCGUAGGGCCUCAGUAAGAC